rnacentral:rRNA from 1 species
UACGGAAGGCAGCAGUGGGGAAUAUUGCACAAUGGGCGCAAGCCUGAUGCAGCCAUGCCGCGUGUAUGAAAAAGGCCUUUCGGGUUGUAAAGUACUUUCAGUCGUGAGGAAGGUGUUAAGGUUAAUAACCUUAGCAAUUGACGUUAGCGACAGAAGAAGCACCGGCUAACUCCGUGCCAGCAGCCGCGGUAAUACGGAGGGUGCGAGCGUUAAUCGGAAUUACUGGGCGUAAAGGGCACGCAGGCGGUUAAUUAAGUUGGAUGUGAAAUCCCCGGGCUUAACCUGGGAAUGGCAUUCAAGACUGGUUAGCUAGAGUCUUGUAGAGGGGGUAGAAUUCCAUGUGUAGCGGUGAAAUGCGUAGAGAUGUGGAGGAAUACCGGUGGCGAAAGGCGGCCCCUGGACAAAGACUGACGCUCAUGUGCGAAAAGCGUGGGGAGCAAAACAGGGAUUAGAUACC